rnacentral:lncRNA from 1 species
CAUUUUCUCAUGCCUUGCAAAUAGCAAAGAGAGCUAGUUGUUCUGUAGGUGGGGGGAAAAGACAAUUUGCUUUUGUCAUGAGCCUCCUUUCUGUUAUGAGGGAUUUCUAUCUGCACUAUUAUGCAGAUGGUGCCAGAUGGCAAAAUUCUCNAUGGUGCCAGAUGGCAAAAUUCUCUCCCAGGGAUGGAGUAGACUUUGUUCCAACACAGAGUUGGGCAGGCCAAAGUUAAAGGUUGUAAGCACCCACUACAGUGACAGCACAUAUAUAGUUUCCCUUUCAGGUCUAGGAGCUACUUCUUAGGAUAGUUUGCAUGGUGGAGAUUGUAUAUGCAUUUUUAAAACAUGCACCACAGUCCUUCAGGAGUAUUAAAUGAAGGACCCAGUCUACCUUUACAUGAAUAGUCCCUUUUGAGUCAUGCAAGAGUUGCAGUCAGACCCUAAAACUCUGUCCUUUUCUGUUGCUGCCAUCCUCAUCUGUUAAAUAGCAAUUGAAAUAGUUAAAUAACUUUGCUUUUUCAUUAAAGUGAAAUGUCAUUAACGACUCAUUUUAAAUCAAUAAAUGCAGUAAAUAGUGUAAUGUGACCUAAAAAUCUUAAUUUUAAAGACCUGAAUAUUAUUAAUGAAUAAGCUAUCUCUCUUUUCAAAAACAAAAAAGCCUGCCUUUUGUUUCCAGUUGGUUGGCAUCCCUGCUGGAAAGAGAGCCUUUAAAUGUGUUUCUGACUACUUUGGUAAUGUUUAUAAAAAGCCAACAAACUGAGUUUGGAAACUUCUUUUUUAAAAAGAUUGAUUUAGUAAAGGGAUCUGAAGUUCAGUUUUACAUUUGGGUAGAGUUCUUACAGUGUUUCUUCUUUUUAGCUAAAGAGACGUCUAAUAAGAAAGAAACAGCAAAUGAGGGUGAGGCGGGAAAAGCAGAGAUGACUGUGCGUCGAAGAGGAAGAAAGCCCAGAUGUUCUGUGAUUCCAUCAGAGGAAACUGGUAAGACAUGAAAUUGUGCUACUCUUAACAGACUGAAGAGUUUACUGUGCCUAGGUAUGCA